AGAGAGGAUAUUCUGGCAGAUAGGAAGUGGUGCGUUUGGGGACGGGUGCUGGGCAGGAGAUAUUUUCAGCAGAAGAUUCUUUCUUGGGGGGCAAGUCUGGACAGAGAGGAAAGGAGGUGCGUUUUUGAGAGGUGGGCUGAAGAUUUUGGGAAGGGAGGAGUGUGUUCCUUUGGUUUGGGAGAGCAAGCUGAAGGGUAGCAGAGGAUAGGAGACGUUUUGGUCGCUGGAGAUAUUGUUUAGGGGGAGCCUUAGAGAGUUUUGGGACGGAGGAGCAUAGUUUGGUAGGGGGAGCAGGUUUCCUGGGAGUUUCUGGGCUAGUUACAGGGAGGAAGAGGAGAGUAUGAGAGAUUUUGAGCGGGUUCCUUAGCUUGAGAGAGGGUGAGACCGAGAGAGAAGUUGAGCUUAGAAGAGAGAGCUAGUCAGAGACAGGAAGAAACACGUAGGAUAAGCAUCUUGAAGGAGGGUGCUACAGGCUCGUAUGGGUCAUUUUGGUUCCUGUUAUUUGUGCUUUGUUUUUUUGGCCCAACCCCUGCAUCUGAGCUCAUUGAUUGAUACAUGAAAUCAGGCUCGUAUGGGUCAUUUUGGUUCCUGUUAUUUGUACUCUGUUUUGCCAUUUUCUCCUGUUCCUGGCACUUGGCUGUGGUCUGCAUCAGAUUCCUCAUCCCUGCUUGAGAGAAUAAGGAACUACAAGGGUUACAGGGCAAAUAUAUAGGUUGCAGAUAUUCAGGUUUUUCUACAAGGAUAGGGUGAUUGUUUUGGUAAUCGGUUGUUUGACUGAAAAUGAUAAUGUGAGAAGGAAAUUCCUCCAGCCAUUCUUUCUAGAUUCACAAGAUAAUGGUUACAUGAAAAUUGACUCCUGGACCUGGGUAUUUCUGUCUCUGCACCAUUGGUGGAAUGCUCAGUGCCGGAACCACCCAUGUCGCUAUCACUCCUCUUGAUGUCUUAAAAGUCAGCAUGCAGGUAUACCCCAUCAAGUAUGACACCAUCUCCUCACGUUUUAUUACCCUGUUGAGGGAACAAGGUCCUUCUGCCUUCUGGAGGGGUUGGCCCACCAAGUUCUUUGGGUAUGGUGUUCAAGGUGGAUUUCAAUUUGGUCUAUAUGAAUAUUUCAAGAAGCUUUACUCUGAAAUGCAUAGUUGGUAAUCCCUUUAAGAAGAGCAUCGAACAAAGACCUCAGGUGGGUUCUCAUGCAAUUUGACAGGAUCCUUGGUUGGAUGAAAUCCGAUACUAAGGCUGGGGCAGUUCUUGAAGCUGGAGUUAGAAAAUUCAUCCCCAAAAGCUAUUAUAUUCAACUCAUUUGUCUUCUUGGAUGAUUACAAUAAUAUGGUAGUUGCAAAUGAAAGGAUCUCUAUUCCGGUGUGGUCCGUCUGGAAA